GUUUUAUGUGAUCGCAGAUAUAAUCAUUAUUGUUAUUGUGAACAUUAAUAAUAUAGCUAUUUUUAUUGUUAUCGUUAUGUAUAUGUUAUGUAUUUACCAGAAUACUCAAUUAUCCCAUUUGUCCAAUGAUUUGGUUGAAAAGCGCAUUCUCUAUAUCGAUAUUAAAACUAUUGAAACAUAGUCGGCAAAUCGACUCGGCCAAUUGUUUUCUAAAAUGUAAGAAAACCUAGUAGGCUUCUAUGAAGUUAAUUUUCUCUAGAGGCUUUGCCUCUCCCUGGGAAGCUCAUUAUUUUCUAACAAUUCAGGCAGUCAACAACAAAAAAUGCAAAAGUAGAAAAUUAAUCGUAUAACACAUAUCUUCAGCCCAAAAUAGAAAAGCAAGCCAACAGGAAUAUUUUAUUUACCAAUAAGGACUCGUUACUGCCAAACAAACAUCCGUCAAAAUGUAUAUCGUUUGCAAAUUCGAUCCAUUCUACGUUGGACCUUGCCCACCCGGUGUUCUGGUCCCUGCUGGCCAUGGUGCUAACUGCCGCAACUGUUAAUCUAGCUGGUUGAGAUACAUUUACAGUUGCUUUCAACUACGGCUGAGGAUAUGUGCAUCUAUUCACAAUGCUCAAUACUGUUUAAAUAAACCAAAAAAAAAUUAUAAAAAUAUAAAACUAUAAAUAAAUGUAAAUGUAAAUCUA